CCUUUGUACACACCGCCCGUCGCUACUACCGAUUGAAUGGCCUAGUGAGGUCUCCGGCUUGGCUUUGGGGAGCCGGCAACGGCACCUUGUCGCUGAGAAGCUGAUCAAACUUGGUCAUUUAGAGG
rnacentral:rRNA from 1 species